GACGAACGCUGGCGGCGUGCUUAACACAUGCAAGUCGAGCGGUAAGGCCCUUUCGGGGGUACACGAGCGGCGAACGGGUGAGUAACACGUGGGUGACCUGCCCUCAGCUCUGGGACAAGCCUGGGAAACCGGGUCUAAUACCGGAUAUGACUCCAUGACGCAUGUUGUGGGGUGGAAAGCCUUGUGCGGCUGAGGAUGGGCCCGCGGCCUAUCAGCUUGUUGGUGGGGUGAGGCCUACCAAGGCGACGACGGGUAGCCGGCCUGAGAGGGCGACCGGCCACACUGGGACUGAGACACGGCCCAGACUCCUACGGGAGGCAGCAGUGGGGAAUCUUGCGCAAUGGGCGAAAGCCUGACGCAGCGACGCCGCGUGAGGGAUGACGGCCUGGUGUAAC
rnacentral:rRNA from 1 species